AGCAUUUCUGGCUGCUGUUGAUCUUGUUUUUGGAGUAAAACACGGUGGAAACUGAAUUAGUGAGGAUGACUCCUGCUCCUGUCAUCUCUAAGCUCCUCACACAUCUUUACCUGCACAUGAGGAAAAUCACUCCUGUAGAAUGCAGAUGUUCAGAGGGAGAUGAUGCCACAUCUGGUCCAGCCGAUGGAAGGUCUUGAAGUUCUCUGACUGGCCUCGACUGAAGAUGGUCGUCUCACUGGAUUUAAGGUUCAGAUGCUCAGUAACAAACUCCACCAAUGAGCCAACAGGGAAGCUUUAGGUUUAUUAAAUGUUGCUAUGAAGGUAUCGCUGUUUUUCUUUGUGAAUGCAAUGAGCUCCAACUGAAACUUGAAUUAGAACUUAGAAGUAAAUCCUUCCAUCUGAAAGGAUUUAGUUGCAUUAAUAACCUCAUAACAUUCUAAUUUUUAUUCCAGUCUUAGUUGGAAAUAGAAUCUCUGUAUUGAUUCAGGUAAAAACUGAACUUCACAGCAUGUUGAAGCAAAACAACCAGAUGAAAACUGUGAUGGUGUUGGAUUGUCAGACUGUAAUGUUGCAGCUCAAAGCAGCUUUUCUAUCUCAGUUCAUUCUGACAUUCAGCUAUGAAUCAACACAGCAGAUGGUGAUCCAUGCUGUGGAAGUCUCACAUCUCCUGAUUUAAUGGAGCUGCUUUGCACUUUUGACACUGUUUAUUCACCAACACUUUAUUUAAUAAAAGUCCCAUCUAGUUUUUAUGAGGAAUGUGAUGUUUUAAUUUCUCUGUGAAUAACUGCAGUCUAAUGUAACAGCUGGAGUUGUAACAUCUGUCCUGAUAUUGAUCAUGAAAUAUUGAUCAGAAUACUUAUGGUUAGCAGUCAUCCCUGAAGUUUUACAUUAAAAUCUUUACUUGUGUUGUGAACUUUGGUAAGAAGCAGAAACGUUAGCGUUGCCAUGGAUACAUGAGUGUUAAAUUCUGUCCAUGUUUCCAUUUUGGGAAAUUCAGUCCAGCAGAUGAGUUUGUUUUUACUGCCAGCUACCAUUCAGUCUGAGAUAUUAAGAAUAAAUUAAUAUGCAUAAUGUGGAAAUUAACAGAUUUUAUUUUUAUUUAUUCCUACAGCUGCUGCAGGGAAUGUUCUCAAAUGUGGAGGAAUUUAGUCUCAAUCACAGACAACAAAUAUCUGAAAGUCGGGUUAUUGUUGUUUAUCAGCACAAUACAAAAAGAUUAAUGUUAGAAAUAUUCCAGUUAAGACACUAGAAUAUCAUGAUUUCUGUAAAUUUACCUCAAUAAUGUGAAUGUUCAGGUUAAGAUUGUGCAGUGAUAUUUAUUAUCUAAGUUUAGCUGAUUAAAGUUUAUGACUCUGCACUAAAAUAUUAUUUAAAUUGACAUCAUUAUUAUAAUAUUUAGGGUCAGACCCUUCAGUAUUGAGAUUAAGAAAUCAAAUAUUCUAUAAAAUGUAAAUACACUGAACUCAUUUGGAUAUAUUUAAGUGAGACUCUACA